UUACGGCCUUACCACGUUGAAACCCCAGUUCUCGUUGGAUCACCGAGUUUAAGCAACGUCGAGACUGGCCAGUACCUAGAUGGGUAACUGCUUGGGAAUAUCAUGUGCUGUAA